AUUGAACGCUGGCGGCAGGCCUAACACAUGCAAGUCGAGCGGAUGAAGGGAGCUUGCUCCUGGAUUCAGCGGCGGACGGGUGAGUAAUGCCUAGGAAUCUGCCUGGUAGUGGGGGAUAACGUCCGGAAACGGGCGCUACUACCGCCUACGUCCUGAGGGAGCAAGUGGGUGAUUUUCGGACCUCUCGCUUGCGUAUGAGCUUAGGCCGGAUUAGCUAGUUGGUGGGGUAAAGGCCUUCCAAGGCGACGAUCGGUAACUGGUCUGCGAGGAUGAUCAGUCACACGGGAAGUGGAACAACGUCAAGGCGACUACGGGAGGGAGCAGUGGGGAAUAUUAGACAGUGGGCGAAAGCCUGAUCCAGCCAUGCCGCGUGUGUGAAGAAGGUCUUCGGAGUGUAAAGCAGUUUAAGGUGGUAUGAAGGGCAGUAAGUUAAUACCUUGCUGUUGUGACGUUACCAGCAGAAUAAGCACCGGCUAACUUCGUG
rnacentral:rRNA from 1 species